rnacentral:lncRNA from 1 species
UAUAACCUCUGCCUCCCGGGUUCAAGCAAUUCUUCUGCUUCAGCGUCCCAAGUAGCUGGGAUUACAGGCCUUCAGUUGCAAAGUUCUCCAUUGUCAGAUUACGCUGCCUGAUGGGCAUGAAAAGUCCACAAAAGAGAAUUUUCUGAUGUGAGAAUGGAGGGUGUUGCCUGCAACUACCCCAGAUCCCUGCGGUGGCAGUUUAAGCCGCCUCCUGGAGCAGAUUGUUAAGCUGAUGCGAGUCUGGGCUCUGCCUCACCACUUGUCUCAGAGAAUGUCCAGUGCUAGGAGACUCAUAAGUUGGAGAGAAACGGCCUGAUUUAUAGAAACUGAGCGAGACUCCGGACCACCUGAUGCAGAGAAACCUGUGACCUGAAAAAGUCUAUUUGUGUUUCCUCUAGGAAUCUCGGCCAAGAAGACAGGGACAAGCUCCCAACUCUGACUACCCCUUUUACAGGGAAAAAAAAAAUCCCGUGCUUUCUUUGCAGCAAGUGACAAAUCCUUGUCAU